UACAGGGGGGGCAAGCGUUGUUCGGAAUUACUGGGCGUAAAGGGCUCGUAGGCGGCCAACUAAGUCACACGUGAAAUCCCCAGGCUUAACCUGGGAACUGCGUGUGAUACUGGAUGGCUUGAAUCCGGGAGAGGGAUGCGGAAUUCCAGGUGUAGCGGUGAAAUGCGUAGAUAUCUGGAGGAACACCGGUGGCGAAAGCGGCGCACUGGACCACAACUGACGCUGAGGCGCGAAAGCUAGGGGAGCAAACAGG
rnacentral:rRNA from 1 species